rnacentral:rRNA from 1 species
CCUACGGGAGGCAGCAGUGAGGAAUAUUGGUCAAUGGCCGGAAGGCUGAACCAGCCAAGCCGCGUGAAGGACGAAGGUGCCAAGCAUUGUAAACUUCUUUUGUCAAGGGACAAAAUCCGGCUCGAGAGCCUGACCGAGGGUACUUGAAGAAAAAGCCUCGGCUAACCCCGUGCCAGCCGCCGCGGUAAUACGGAGGAUGCGAGCGUUAUUCGGGUGUAUUGGGUUUAAAGGGUGCGUAGGCGGACUGUUAAGUCAGCGGUAAAAGCCCGGGGCUCAACCCCUGCGCGCCGUUGAAACUGGCUGUCUUGAGAGGACGAGAGGUAUGCGGAAUGCGUAGUGUAGCGGUGAAAUGCUUAGAUAUUGCGCAGAACUCCGAUUGCGAAGGCAGCAUACCGGCGGCGAUCUGACGCUGAGGCACGAAAGCGUGGGUAUCGAACAGGAUUAGAUACCCGGGUAGUC